rnacentral:rRNA from 1 species
UAGGGAAUCUUCCGCAAUGGGCGAAAGCCUGACGGAGCAACGCCGCGUGAGUGAUGAAGGUCUUCGGAUCGCAAAACUCCGUUAUUAGGGAAGACCAAAUGUGUAAGUAACUAUGCACGUCUUGACGGUACCUACUCAGAAAGCCACGGCUAACUACGUGCCAGCAGCCGCGGUAAUACGUAGGUGGCAAGCGUUAUCCGGAAUUUUUGAGCGUAAAGCGCGCGUAGGCGGUGUUUUAAGUCUGAUGUGAAAGCCCACGGCUCAACCGGGGAGGGUCAUUGGAAACUGGAAAACUUGAGUGCAGAAGAGGGAAGUGGAAUUCCAUGUGUAGCGGUGAAAUGCGCAGAGAUAUGGAGGAACACCAGUGGCGAAGGCGACUUAAUGAUCUGUAACUGACGCUGAUGUGCGAAAGCGUGGAGAUCAAACAGG